rnacentral:rRNA from 1 species
UACGGAGGAUCCAAGCGUUAUCCGGAAUUACUGGGCGUAAAGAGUUGCGUAGGUGGCAUUGUAAGUUGAUAGUGAAAGCGUCCGGCUCAACCGGAUACACAUUAUCAAAACUGCAAAGCUAGAGGACAAGAGAGGUCACUGGAAUUCCUAGUGUAGGAGUGAAAUCCGUAGAUAUUAGGAGGAACACCGAUGGCGUAGGCAGGUGACUGGCUUGUUCCUGACACUAAGGCACGAAAGCGUGGGUAGCAAACGGG